rnacentral:rRNA from 1 species
GCAGAACGCGAAGAACCUUACCUACUCUUGACAUCCAGAGAACUUAGCAGAGAUGCUUUGGUGCCUUCGGGAACUCUGAGACAGGUGCUGCAUGGCUGUCGUCAGCUCGUGUUGUGAAAUGUUGGGUUAAGUCCCGCAACGAGCGCAACCCUUAUCCUUUGUUGCCAGCGGUUAGGCCGGGAACUCAAAGGAGACUGCCAGUGAUAAACUGGAGGAAGGUGGGGAUGACGUCAAGUCAUCAUGGCCCUUACGAGUAGGGCUACACACGUGCCACAAUGGCGCAUACAAAGAGAAGCGACCUCGCGAGAGCAAGCGGACCUCAUAAAGUGCGUCGUAGUCCGGAUUGGAGUCUGCAACUCGACUCCAUGAAGUCGGAAUCGCUAGUAAUCGUAGAUCAGAAUGCUACGGUGAAUACGUUCCCGGGUCUUGUACACACCG